GCAGCGGCUGCUUCCUUUACCUUCCUCCCAUGGUCUCCUUCCGGUUCUCGAUGCUUCUCUGAGCCUAAGGGUUUCCGCCACUCGUUUACCCUCCCCCCAGCUCAUGAUCCUCCUCCCUCCCCCGCCCUCCUGGUCCAAUCUCCGAUCUGUUUAGUAAGAAGGUGCUGUUCCGAGAAGGAGAAGGAAAAGGGCUUGACACGUAUUCACUCGGCCCCGGACGUGGGAAGCAAGCCGUCUGGCUUCGGCCUCACAUCGGUCCUGUGCUCGGGACGGCGGCGUUGGCGGACUGAUCUGCGGCGGUGAAGAGGCGCCUGUGUCUGGCAGAGCUGGUGUGAGACGAGACAAUCCUGCCCCGCCGCCGGGAUAAUCAAGAGUUUUGGCCGGACCUUUGAGCAUACACCGAGAGAGUGAGGAGCCAGACGACAAGCACACACUAUGGCGCUGAAACGGAUUAAUAAGGAACUUAGUGAUUUGGCCCGUGACCCUCCAGCACAAUGUUCUGCAGGUCCAGUUGGGGAUGAUAUGUUUCAUUGGCAAGCCACAAUUAUGGGACCUAUAAGCAACUAUAUGCUGGAUAAUUGAAUAUUCAGAAUUAUGGAUACCAUCUAAGAAUUUC
rnacentral:lncRNA from 1 species